GAAUGUGAGGGUGAUCUGGCUGCGACAUCUGUCACCCCAUUGAUUGCCAGGGUUGAUUCGGCUGAUCUGGCUGGCUAGGUGGUGUCCCCUUCUUCCCUCACUGCUCCAUGUCCAUCUCUCCCAAAACUGCAUGCUCAGUCGAAGAGAAUGACCUUCCCUGAUAGAGGAGAGGACCAUCCUUCGGUCAAGAAUAUAAAAGUAGCUGCGCUCCCAUGCUAGAACCUCCAAACCAGCUCUCAAAAAGAAACAGUCUUUGAUGGUUACGAGGUAGGGGAGGGAUGGGGAUGGAAAAACACUUAAUAGACAAUAGAUAAGUGGACACUUU
ensembl:misc_RNA 7SK 7SK RNA